rnacentral:lncRNA from 1 species
AAAUGGAAACAGUCCCCAAAAGUACAUUUAGGAUUUUAAUAUAUGAGCUAUACAAAAGAUAUGUUCAACUAGUUCAAUUUGGCAGCCAUUUGUCAAAUCCAGACCAAAAGUGUUUAUUUUCCUGUAAGGAAAACAAAAGGAACAGAAAGGGGUGAGCUUGCGCUCAAUGAGGUACCAACCAGAUAGCAAUAAAAUCAUGGCAUUUCACGUUUAGCAACUCAAGUACACAUGCCAGAUGUAAAGCAAAGGAACCAAUGAUUCAAAUCAGAAGGAUACGGGUGGCUCUCAG